rnacentral:lncRNA from 1 species
GUAUGGUGGCCAGAGAAACACAAAUACAGUGGGGGCUUGUUAUCAUUUUCAGGAGCUGACAACACAAUAUUCAGUCUUUAGAACCGACGCUCUGUGAAUAUAUAGCACCUGGCUCUUGAUGGUCUGAUUCCAUCAACUUGCUAUACGUGCCUCAGGAAGGUAAAGAUGCACAAUCCUUUACCCCAAACACAAAUUCUAUGUGAGCUCUAGGAAUUGUUCAGCGUACAGCUCCGCCAUCACCUGGUGGUUUUCUGCCCAGCUUCAUGGAGUUUUAGCCUAGGCCUGCACAGUUUAGUAUCCAACAACAGACUCAAAGACCUCAGUGCAGAAAUGUGGAGGUCUUUCUCCACAGAGCGUUCUCCUGCCUCACUGGUGGUCAGCCCUGCACAUUCCAGCCAUCUCUGCAUCCCUGAACUCCAGCCUCUACCUCCCCAACUCAGUAGGAAUGAAGUGCUCUGUUUGGGUUCUUGCUACGUGGACCAUUGUCAGACAUCUGAAGAAGGCUGGAUAAGAUCAGAGAUGAAUCAUGAGGCCUGGCCUCCAAAAAAAGUCAGAAGCACACACUGGAUGAGAAUGAAGGAACUCGUGGAAACAAAUGGAUCUCAAAGAUUUAAUGCAGCCAGGUCAUGUUCACUCUUGUCAACUUGAGUUGUGCAACACAGUUUAUCUUUUUUAAAUUUUCAUAGUAGUAUAUAAAGGAAUACAA